CCUUGACAUACUAAGAACUUUCCAGAGAUUGGAUUGGUGCCUUCGGGAACUUAGAUACAGGUGCUGCAUGGCUGUCGUCAGCUCGUGUCGUGAGAUGUUGGGUUAAGUCCCGNAACGAGCGCAACCCUUUUCCUUAUUUGCCAGCGGGUCAUGCCGGGAACUUUAAGGAUACUGCCAGUGACAAACUGGAGGAAGGCGGGGACGACGUCAAGUCAUCAUGGCCCUUACGGCCAGGGCUACACACGUGCUACAAUGGUCGGUACAAAGGGUUGCUACCUCGCGAGAGGAUGCUAAUCUCAAAAAGCCGAUCGUAGUCCGGAUCGCAGUCUGCAACUCGACUGCGUGAAGUCGGAAUCGCUAGUAAUCGCGGAUCAGAAUGCCGCGGUGAAUACGUUCCCGGGCCUUGUACACACCGCCCGUCACACCAUGGGAGUUUGUUGCACCAGAAGUAGGUAGUCUAACCGCAAGGAGGACGCUUACCACGGUGUGGCCGAUGACUGGGGUGAAGUCGUAACAAGGUAGGCGUAGAUGA
rnacentral:rRNA from 1 species